ensembl:scaRNA small Cajal body-specific RNA 17
GUCCCCGAGUCCCCAGUGUAGCCCCCAGAUGAGCUCGCAGUAUUUUCCUUAUAUGAUCGGGCCCCGUUGCUGGCGGCGCCGCUGGCCCGGAGCCUGAGAGGAUUAUAAAAACGUUUCAGGUGAAGUGUGGCUGGGGACCGGGGC